UGGCGAGUGGCGGACGGGUGAGUAAUGCGUAGGAAUCUACCCUAAAGUGGGGAAUAACCUAGGGAAACUUAGGCUAAUACCGCAUAAUCUUUAAGAAGCAAAGCUGGGGACCUUCGGGCCUGGCGCUUUAGGAUGAGCCUACGUCAGAUUAGCUUGUUGGUGGGGUAAUGGCCUACCAAGGCAACGAUCUGUAGCUGGUCUGAGAGGACGAUCAGCCACACUGGGACUGAGACACGGCCCAGACUCCUACGUGAGGCAGCAGUGGGGAAUUUUCCGCAAUGGGCGAAAGCCUGACGGAGCAACGCCGCGUGAGAGACGAAGGCCUCUGGGCUGUAAACCUCUUUUCUCAAGGAAGAAGAUAUGACGGUACUUGAAGUAAUAAGCCACGGCUAAUUCCGUGCCAGCAGCCGCGGUAAUACGGGAGUGGCAAGCGUUAUCCAAAUUAUUGGGCGUAAAGCGUCCGCAGGCGGCUUUUCAAGUCUGCUGUUAAAGCGUGGAGCUAAACUCCAUCAUGGCAGUGGAAACUGAAAGGCUUGAGUAUGGUAGGGGCAGAGGGAAUUCCCCGGUGUAUCGGUGAAAUGCGUAGAUAUCGGGAAGAACACCAGUGGCGAAGGCGCUCUGCUGGGCCAUUACUGACGCUCAUGGACGAAAGCCAGGGGAGCGAAAGGGAUUAGAUACCCCUGUAGUCCUGGCCGUAAACGAUUAAAAACACACUAAGGUGUUCGGGUGAAUCGACCCCUUCGGUGUCGUAGCUAACGCGUUAAGUGUUCCGCCUGGGGAGUACGCACCGUGAAACUCAAAGGAAUUGACGGGGGCCCGCACAAGCGGUGGAGUAUGUGGUUUAAUUCGUCGCAAGACUGAAACUCAAAGGAAUUGACGGGGGCCCGCACAAGCGGUGGAGCAUGUGGUUUAAUUCGAACAGGGCGAAGAACCUUACCAGGGUUUGACAUCCUGCGAACCUCUUAGAAAUUUGAGGGUGCCCGAAGAACCUUACCAGGGUUUGACAUCCUGCGAACCUCUUAGAAAUUUGAGGGUGCCUUCGAACCUUACCAGGGGCCCGCACAAGCGGUGGAGUAUGUGGUUUAAUUCGAUCAACGCGAAGAACCUUACCAGGGUUUUGACAUUCUUGCCAGAUCUUCUAGAAAUUUGAGGGUGCCUUCGGGAAUGCAGUGACAGGUGGUGCAUGGCUGUCGUCAGCUUAAAAAUUUGAGGGUGCCUUCGGGAAUGCAGUGACAGGUGGUGCAUGGCUGUCGUCAGCUCGCAAGAGGGGCCUUCGGGAAU
rnacentral:rRNA from 1 species